UACUGGGAUGCGAGCUGCAAUUUCUGCAACGGAAAAGCUGUCACUGACCCUCCGUUUUCUCACAACGGGAGAAUCGUUUCAAAGCUUAAAUUUUGGGACAAAAAUUUCGCGGCCAGCAAUUGGUGGAAUAAUUCCCGUAGUUUGUGGCGCUAUUUACAAAAGACUGAAGGCGUUAUAUUUGAAGUUUCCAAGCAAUACGGCAGAGUGGGUAUCAAUUGCAAAUGAAUUUGCAAUAUGAUGGCAAUUUCCAAAUUGUCUAGGCGCACUGGAUGGUAAAUACAUAUGUACAUAACCUUUAGGCCAU